AUUGAACGCUGGCGGAAUGCUUUACACAUGCAAGUCGAACGGCAGCACGGGGGCAACCCUGGUGGCGAGUGGCGAACGGGUGAGUAAUACAUCGGAACGUGCCCAGUCGUGGGGGAUAACUACGCGAAAGCGUAGCUAAUACCGCAUACGAUCUACGGAUGAAAGCGGGGGAUCGCAAGACCUCGCGCGAUUGGAGCGGCCGAUGGCAGAUUAGGUAGUUGGUGGGGUAAAGGCUCACCAAGCCUGCGAUCUGUAGCUGGUCUGAGAGGACGACCAGCCACACUGGGACUGAGACACGGCCCAGACUCCUACGGGAGGCAGCAGUGGGGAAUUUUGGACAAUGGGCGCAAGCCUGAUCCAGCCAUUCCGCGUGCAGGAUGAAGGCCCUCGGGUUGUAAACUGCUUUUGUACGGAACGAAAAGCCUUCUUCUAAUACAGGAGGGUCAUGACGGUACCGUAAGAAUAAGCACCGGCUAACUACGUGCCAGCAGCCGCGGUAA
rnacentral:rRNA from 1 species